rnacentral:rRNA from 1 species
GUGUUAUGCUACUGUAUUGCAGUCGAACGAUGGACCGGUGCUUGCUCCGUGGAUUAGUGGCGAACGGGUGAGUAACACGUGAGAAACCUGCCGUUAACUCUGGAAUAAGCCUGGGAAAGUGGGUCUAAUACCGGAUAUGACUCCUCAUCACAUGGUGGGACCUGGAAAGCUUUUUUGUGGUUUGAGCCUAGGUCGGAUUAUAUAGUUGGUUGGUAAUGGCUCACCUCGGCGACGAUACGAAACUGGUCUGAGAGGAUGAUCUGACCCACUGCAACUGAAAUGAGACCCAGACUCCAACCCUACGCAACGCUGGGGAAUAUUGUAUUGUGGGCGAAAGCCUGAUCCGAUCCUGCCACGUGUGUGAAGAAAGGAUUCCCAUUGGAUUGCACUUUUCUUUCGGAAGAAAGGAAGCAAACUAGAACCUUGCUGUUUUGAAGUUACCGACUUAACUACGUGCCGGCAUAACGUCUGUAAUACGUACCGCGGUAAUACGUAAUCCGGAAUUAUAUGUUAAUCGAAAGCUCGUGAGCGUAAUUGUCGCGUCUGCCGUGAUCGUUUCGUUGGAUCAACUCCUCCAUCUGCUCUGCCUGCGAACUGACUACAGUGAUGUAGAGCUAGACUGAAAUUCCAGGUGUUGCGAUGAAAUGUGUAGAUAUCGAGACGCACACAUAUGGCGAAGGCAGGUCUCUGCGAAUUAAAUGACGCUGACGGAGCGAAAGCAUGGGGAUGCGAACAGGAUUAGAUAUCGUGGUAGUGCAUGCCGUAAACGUAGGGCACUAGGUGUGAGGGGACAUUACACGUUUUCACGCGCGGUAGCAUAACGCAUUAAGUAAGCCGCCUGGGGAUGUACGGCCGCAAGGAUAAAACUCAAAGGAAUGAUGACGGGGGCCCGCACAAGCGGCGGAGCAUGCGGAUUAAUUAGAUGCAACGAGAAGAACCUUCCCAAGCCUUGACAUGCGGCGCGGACCGGGCUGGAUAACACAUCCGUUCGCCCUCUGGGGUCGGCUCACAGGUGGUGCAUGGUUGUCGUCAGCUAGUGUCGUGAGAUGGUGGGUUAAGUACCGCAACGAGCGCAACCCUCCUUCCAUGUUGCCAGCGCGUAAUGGCGGGGAGUCAUGGGAGACUGCCGGGGUCAACUCGGAGGAAGGAGGGGAGGACGUCAAAUCAUCAUGCCCCUUAUGUCUUGGGCUUCACGCACGCUACAAUCACCGGUACAAAGGGAUGCGAUACAAUGAGGGGGAGGUAAUCCCAAAAACCCGGUCUCAGUUAGGAUGGGGGUCUGCAACUCGACCCCAUGAAGUAGGUGUCGAUAGUAAUCGCAGAUCAGCAACAAUGCGGCGAAUACGUUCCCGGCCCUCGUACACCCCGCCCGUCAACUCACCAAAGGAGGUAACACCCGCAGCCGGUGGUCUAACCCCUUCGGGACGGAGCUACAGAUAUGUCUGUCCGC